rnacentral:rRNA from 1 species
GGAAGGCAGCAGGCGCGCAAAUUACCCACUCCCGGCACGGGGAGGUAGUGACGAAAAAUAACAAUACGGGACUCUUUUGAGACCCCGUAAUUGGAAUGAGAACAUUCUAAAUCCUUUAACGAGGACCCAUUGGAGGGAAAGUCUGGUGCCAGCAGCUGCGGUAACUCCAGCUCCAAUAGCGUAUAUUAAAGUUGUUGCGGUUAAAAAGCUCGUAGUUGGAUCUCAGUUCGAGACGGACGGUCCGCCUACCGGUGGUCACUGUCUGUUCUCAACACCAGCCGGUUUCCCUGGAUGAUCUUCACCGGUUGUCUUGGGUGACCGGCAAGUUUACUUUGAAAAAAUUAGAGUGCUCAAARCAGGCGUGACGCCUGGAUAAUGGUGCAUGGAAUAAUGGAAUAGGACCUCGGUUCUAUUUUGUUGGUUUUCGGAACACGAGGUAAUGAUUAAGAGGGACAGACGGGGGCAUUCGUAUUGCGACGCUAGAGGUGAAAUUCUUGGACCGCCGCACGACGAACUACUGCGAAAGCAUUUGCCAAGAAUGUUUCCAUUAAUCAAGAACGAAAGUUAGAGGUUCGAAGGCGAUCAGAUACCGCCCUAGUUCUAACCAUAAACGAUGCCAGCCAGCGAUCCGGCUGUGUUCCUCAAAUGACACGCCGGGCAGCUUCCGGGAAACCAAAGCUUUUGGGUUCC